GUCUUUGCCUGGGAAACAUUAAACAUUUAAAUAUUAAACACUAAAAAUAUCAGUGUCUGAAUCUCACCUCACCUUGGAGAUUCUGAUUUAAUUGCUUUUGGAUGAGGCCUGGGCACAAGUGUCUCAGUGCUCCCCAGGCGAUUGACCUAGACCUUUGGUAACAGCCAUUUGCGUCUGGGAAUGACGAAUGGCCCACUGACAGCAUGAAAUCAAGCUGCAGGGACUAACACAUAUGUAAGAGUGUCACAAUGUCCCAAUUUUAAGUCCUGUCCCCUUCCCUGCACCUAAGCCAGGAGGCAGAACCAUGGAUGAGCAAUGCUCCUUGUCUAAGCAGGUAUGAGCUUAUCAGGUUGAGCACUUUAGUAGUGUGACUUAGUUUAAGCCUACAAAUUCCGUGAACAUUGAGAAGAAGCAGGAGAGAAAAUAUUAUAUUAUCUGCAAAAUAAUUUAAUAGAGAAAAUGAGAUCUGUAGAUGGCACAGUGUCUGGGGCUUAAAUAUUCUGUACUGAAGAUCACAUCAUAUCACAUAGCACAUCUCUGACAAAAUAGGGGUCCAAUCAGCAUUUGUCUAGUCAGUGGAUCCACUAAUCAGUAAAUGAAUGAAUGGAUGUCACUGAAGGAGAAGCCGAUUCUGUCUUUGACAUCCACGGCCCACCUUACUACCAACUGCUGUUCUUGGAGUGAAGUGUCGGGAGGGAGAAUCCAUUGACAAUAACUGUGCUAAGACAGGUGCUAGAGCUGAAUGUCACUCUAAGCAGACUGGAAACCCCAGUGGGGGUGAGAAGGGUGAAGCAGGCGUGGUGGUCAUUAGAGCUGGCAAGUAAAUAUUUCCAGGUUUCCUCCCCAGAAUACAGUAGAAUGGCACUACUCUACCCCUCAGAGUUCUCUAUGGCCAUGUGACUUGAUUGCCUCACUGAAGCAGAAGUUUUGCAUUUUGCUUCUACACAAAAGUUUUAAGAGCCAUUGGAUUUUCAGUGCUAAAACUGGGACACCUCCAGGCAUCAAUGUUUCAAGUAGUGAUCAUUCCAUCAGCUUGAGUCCAGGAAUGAGGUCAGUCCAUCAAACAAGAGACUCAGAGCAUUGAAAUAACUUGCCUGGGGACACAGUGAGAUCAGAGAUGGAUUACAGACCUUGUCUGUCUGACUUCAGAAACCACAGUCAUACACCACCUGGGUGUAGAUAGUCUUUAUUACAUGUAUCUUUUUAUUUUUAAAUCCCUGGGUCAGGAAAAUCCCCUGGAGAAAAUAAUGGCAACCCACUCCAGUAUUCUUACCUGGAGAAUUCCAC
ensembl:lncRNA